GCUUGUCUCAAAGAUUAAGCCAUGCAUGUCUAAGUAUAGUACCUUAUACUGCGAAACUGCGAAUGGCUCAUUAAAUCAGUUAUAAUUCAUUUGAUGGUACUUACUACUCGGAUAACCGUAGUAAUUCUAGAGCUAAUACGUGCGUAAAUCCCGACUUCUGGAAGGGACGUAUUUAUUAGAUAAAAGGCCAGCCGGGUUUCGGCCCGUUCUUUGGCGACUCAUGAUAACUUAGCGGAUCGCAGAGGCCUCGCGCCGGCGACAAAUCAUUCAAGUUUCUGCCCUAUCAGCUUUCGAUGGUAGUGUAUUGGACUACCAUGGCAUUCACGGGUAACGGAGGAUUAGGGUUCGAUUCCGGAGAGGGAGCCUGAGAAAUGGCUACCACAUCCAAGGAAGGCAGCAGG
rnacentral:rRNA from 1 species